UACGAAGGGGGGCUAGCGUUGUUCGGAAUUACUGGGCGUAAAGCGCACGUAGGCGGAUAUUUUAAGUCAGGGGGUGAAAAUCCCCAGAGCUCAACUCUGGAACUGCCUUUUGAUACUGGGUAUCUCGAGUAUGGAAGAGGUGAGUGGAAUUCCGAGUGUAGAGGUGAAAAUUCGUAGAUAUUCGGAGGAACACCAGUGGCGAAGGCGGCUCACUGGUCCAUUACUGACGCUGAGGUGCGAAAAGCGUGGGGGAGCAAACAGG
rnacentral:rRNA from 1 species